UCUCCGUAGGUGAACCUGCGGAGGGAUCAUUACAGAGUUCGCGCCCCUCGCGGGUAGAUCUCCCACCCUGUGUUAUCGCUACCGCGUUGCUUUGGCGGGCCGUCGGGCUCGACCCCGCCGCUGGCUCCGGCCGGCGCGCGCCCGCCAGAGACCCCCCAUCCUGAAUAUACGUAUCGUCUGAGUACUAUAUAAUAGUUAAAACUUUCAACAACGGAUCUCUUGGUUCUG
rnacentral:misc_RNA from 1 species